GAUGAAGAACGUAGCGAAAUGCGAUACUUGGUGUGAAUUGCAGAAUCCUGUGAACCAUCGAGUUUUUAAACGCAAGUUUCGCCCGAAGCCAUUAGGCCGAGGGCACGCCUGCCUGGGUGUCACACAUUGUUGCCCCAAUGCCAAUCGCCUCACUUUGUAAGUAUUUGCUUGGGGUGAAUGUUGGCCUCCCGGGAGCUCUGUCUCACGGUUGGUUGAAAAUCGAAUGCAUGGUGUCGGGUGUACCAUGAUGGAUGGUGGUUGAGUGAUGCUCGAGACCAAUCAUGGGUAACUCCACCAGAAUUGUGCUCGGUGACCCACAUGCGUCCCUUGGAUGCUCCCUAAGGAGACCUCAGGUCAGGCGGGGCUACCCGUUGAGUUUAAGCAUAUCAAUAAGCGGAGGA
rnacentral:misc_RNA from 1 species